rnacentral:rRNA from 1 species
CCUACGGGUGGCAGCAGUGAGGAAUAUUGGUCAAUGGACGGAAGUCUGAACCAGCCAUGCCGCGUGCAGGAAGACGGCUCUAUGAGUUGUAAACUGCUUUUGUACAAGGGUAAACCUGAAUACGUGUAUUCAGCUGAAAGUACUGUACGAAUAAGGAUCGGCUAACUCCGUGCCAGCAGCCGCGGUAAUACGGAGGAUGCGAGCGUUAUCCGGAUUUAUUGGGUUUAAAGGGUGCGUAGGCGGAUCGUUAAGUCAGUGGUCAAAUUGAGGGGCUCAACCCCUUCCCGCCAUUGAAACUGGCGCUCUUGAGUGGAAGAGAAGUAUGCGGAAUGCGUGGUGUAGCGGUGAAAUGCAUAGAUAUCACGCAGAACCCCGAUUGCGAAGGCAGCAUGCCGGCUUCCGACUGACGCUGAAGCACGAAAGCGUGGGGAUCGAACAGGAUUAGAUACCCGGGUAGUC